rnacentral:rRNA from 1 species
GCCAGCAGCCAUAUCACCCUGCAGCUUACAACUGGUAGUCCACUGCAGCUCAGCAGGUGGGAACCUGGCCAGUACCUGGAUGGGAGACCUCCAGGGAAAAACUAAGGCUGCUGCUGGAA